rnacentral:rRNA from 1 species
UACAGGGGGGGCAAGCGUUGUUCGGAAUUACUGGGCGUAAAGGGUUCGUAGGUGGCCACUUAAGUCAGGUGUGAAAUCCCCAAGCUUAACUUGGGAAUUGCGUUUGAUACUGUCUGACUUGAGUUUGGUAGAGGGAGGUGAAAUUCCAGGUGUAGCGGUGAAAUGCGUAGAGAUCUGGAGGAACACCAGUGGCGAAGGCGGCCUCCUGGACUGAAACUGACACUGAGGUACGAAAGUGUGGGGAUCAAACAGG